rnacentral:ribozyme from 1 species
GCUGUCUGCCUUUUUUGUUUUUUUUCUUUUGAUUUCUUUCUUUGUGCCUCUUUGUAAA